UACGAAGGGGGCUAGCGUUGUUCGGAUUUACUGGGCGUAAAGCGCACGUAGGCGGCGCGGCAAGUCAGGGGUGAAAUCCCGGGGCUCAACCCCGGAACUGCCUUUGAUACUGGGUAUCUCGAGUCCGAGAGAGGUGAGUGGAAUUCCGAGUGUAGAGGUGAAAUUCGUAGAUAUUGGGAAGAACACCGGAUGGCGAAGGCAGCCAUCUGGGACCGACACUGACGCUGAGGCGCGAAAGCGUGGGGAGCAAACAGG
rnacentral:rRNA from 1 species